AAGUCGUAACAAGGUAACCGUAGGUGAACCUGCGGUUGGAUCAUUAAAAAAUACCUAGAGCAGUGCAGGGGUGCAGCUUUACGGCUCUCUCCUCGCUGUUUCUUAACAAAUUGUGAAUCGUUUAUUGUCUCUUGUGGAAGAGUCGAGGCGCUCUUUUGAGCCCUCGAGGACUCCACACGUGAAUUUCAACAUUGUAAUACCUAUAUUUGUCUCAAAACUUAAACCUAAAAAAUUUAAAAACAACUUUUGACAACGGAUCUCUAGGCUCUC
rnacentral:misc_RNA from 1 species